rnacentral:rRNA from 1 species
AUGGCAGGUCGAGCCGUCCUGGUCAAGUCCGUCCUCACGGCCCAGGCUACAUUCCAUGCCACUUCGCUUGCUCUUCCUGUUGGCACCGUGGAUGCACUUGAGAAGGUUGAGCGAGCCUUUUUGUGGGCGGGGUCCGACAAAGUUUCUAGCGGGCAGUGUAAGGUGAAAUGGAAAACCGUGUGUUUGCCCAAGAUAUUUGGGGGCCUUGUCAUCCUAGAUAUUCACAAAUAUGCUCGAGCUCUCCGGCUUAGGUGGCCGUGGUACGUGUGGACGGAGCUGGAUAGAGCUUGGGUCAGUUUGAGCAAGCCUUGGGAUGCCAAGGACAUGGAGCUUUUCUACGACGUCACCACCAUUAUUGUGGGAAACGGUCUGUUGGCAAGGUUCUGGCUAUCCCCUUGGCUCAAUGGAGAAAACCCCAAGUAUAUUGCUCCUCUCGUGUUUCAGAUCUCAGAAAGAAAGAAUUCUUUAGUGCGGGAUGCACUCUUGGACAAUGCUUGGCUUUCAAGAAUUUACAUGUCUCAAGGGCUCACGGUCGACCACAUCCACCAAUUCUGCACACUUUGGGCGAGGCUUGAUAUUGUCCUCUUGCAACAUGACACUCCAGACACCAUCAUUUGGGAUCGCACGCCAAAUGGCUCUUACUCCACUGCUUCUGCCUAUCUCGCGCAAUUUGAGGGAGCCAUCACCACAUGCAUGAAGCCCGCUGUCGGUGUCAAAACCGGCAGAUCUCGGGUAGGGGGUCCCGAACUGUGCGUCUAA